ACCCGCACGAAGCGGUGGAUGAUGUGGAUUAAUUCGAUGCAACGCGAAAACCUUACCUACCCUUGACAUGUCCGGAAUCCUGAAGAGAUUUGGGAGUGCUCGCAAGAGAACCGGAACACAGGUGCUGCAUGGCUGUCGUCAGCUCGUGUCGUGAGAUGUUGGGUUAAGUCCCGCAACGAGCGCAACCCUUGUCAUUAGUUGCCAUCAUUUGGUUGGGCACUCUAAUGAGACUGCCGGUGACAAACCGGAGGAAGGUGGGGAUGACGUCAAGUCCUCAUGGCCCUUAUGGGUAGGGCUUCACACGUCAUACAAUGGUCGGUACAGAGGGUUGCCAACCCGCGAGGGGGAGCUAAUCCCACAAAGCCGAUCGUAGUCCGGAUCGCAGUCUGCAACUCGACUGCGUGAAGUCGGAAUUGCUAGUAAUCGUGAAUCAGAAUGUCACGGUGAAUACGUUCCCGGGCCUU
rnacentral:rRNA from 1 species